UUCUCAGGGGCAAAUGCCUGGAGUCUUCCCUCUUCCCACAUCAGGUGGUCUGGCUACUUCAGGAGAAUGCUGCCCUACAAAUGCCUCAAGGCACAAAAUUUGGAAGACUUGGCUCUUUGGUUUAGAAGCAGCACUGGCUGAGACAUGGUUCUUUGGAAACAGACAAGUGUGAUUUCAGAAUCAGGAAGAAAAUCAGGCCUCUAACUGUGGAUACGGCCUGCAGCUAUGGACUUAAAUGAAUGAUUGGAG